rnacentral:rRNA from 1 species
AACGAACGCUGGCGGCAUGCCUAACACAUGCAAGUCGAACGAGACCUUCGGGUCUAGUGGCGCACGGGUGCGUAACGCGUGGGAAUCUGCCCUUUGCUUCGGAAUAACAGUUAGAAAUGACUGCUAAUACCGGAUGAUGUUUUCGGACCAAAGAUUUAUCGGCAAAGGAUGAGCCCGCGUAGGAUUAGGUAGUUGGUGGGGUAAAGGCCUACCAAGCCGACGAUCCUUAGCUGGUCUGAGAGGAUGAUCAGCCACACUGGGACUGAGACACGGCCCAGACUCCUACGGGAGGCAGCAGUGGGGAAUAUUGGACAAUGGGCGAAAGCCUGAUCCAGCAAUGCCGCGUGAGUGAUGAAGGCCUUCGGGUCGUAAAGCUCUUUUACCAGGGAUGAUAAUGACAGUACCUGGAGAAUAAGCUCCGGCUAACUCCGUGCCAGCCGCCGCCGUAAGAC